rnacentral:rRNA from 1 species
GGACUACUGGGGUAUCUAAUCCUGUUUGAUCCCCAUGCUUUCGUGCCUGAGCGUCAAUGUGGGGCCAAGUUGCUGCCUUCGCCACUGGUGUUCUUCCGAAUAUCUACACAUUUCACUGCUACACUCGGAAUUCCACAACUCUCUCCCCAAUUCAAGACCUACAGUAUCAAAGGCAGUUUCACGGUUGAGCCGUGAGAUUUCACCUCUAACUUAUAAGUCCGCCUGCGCACCCUUUACACCCAGUAAAUCCGGACAACGCUUGGAUCCUACGUAUUACCGCGGCUGCUGGCAC